AAAGAGACAAAGAAAACAAAGAAAAGAGAAUGAGAAAGGAGAUCCUCCUCUUGAUCGGCUGGCAUAUUCUUUCUGGUUCUUCUCUUGUCUCUUCUCUCUCUCUUUUCUCUAUCU
rnacentral:ribozyme from 13 species